UUAAAACCUCAAAAUACCACCGAGAUCUUCAGAUUCUGGAGCUCUUAAAUCACAAUAAACACUCUGAAAGCUGAUUAACUUCUGCUAAUGAGACGCGUUUAACUCGGCGAUAAGAUCUGAGAUCAGUGUUUGGAGAAGAUUUAACCUUGUUAGAUAACAGUCUGGAUGGCAGGAGGAGGAAACAUCUGAAGGAAACUGGAGGAAACAUCUUGGCCACAUUUCUCACAGAUGUCUCUAACAUCCUGUUCCUGUCACCUCCUGGCCUCCAGACCUGCUGGAUGACAUCUAUUAGGUCCAGGAUGAUCCGUCCUCCUCCUGGCUCUGGACGGAGGGAAGUGGCAGCAGAUGAUUCAUGGAGCGAUGACUGACGGCUGAUUUACGAUUCAGCGCCGAGCUCUGACGGAGCUCCCUGACAGUCCGAGCAGCAGGAAGAGGAGCUGCUACCUGCAGGAUCACAGGUGGAUCGGAUCUAUCCAGGACCCAAACAGAGACAUGGUCACCAGUAAUUAACCGGCAGGGUUAGCUCCAACCACAGCUCUGCUCACAGUCUCUCUCUGGAAACCCAUCUGUUCCUCAACGUUCCACCUGAUUCUCCAUCCAUCUCCUCCUGCAUCAGGGUCAGAUGUUACUGCAACAUUAAAGGUCAACAUACAUCAUUUUAUUCUGCCUUGAAUGUACCUUUAUUGGAAAAAAACCCAUCUACAGAUGAUCCUGGUUUCUUCUUUUAUCAUCUAGAACUUGUUCUGACCAACCGCCUAUUGCUCCAAAAUACUUGAAAAUGACGAAACAAUGUCAAAAAUUGGUCAAUAAAUUCUUAAAAAUGACAUGAAAAUUAUCCAAAAAUACCCAUAAUGACUCACAUUUGUCAGAAAU